rnacentral:rRNA from 1 species
UACGUAGGGGGGCGAGCGUUGUCCGGAUUCAUUGGGCGUAAAGAGCUCGUAGGCGGCUUGGCAAGUCGGAUGUGAAAACUCCAGGCUCAACCUGGAGCCGCCAUUCGAUACUGCUAUGGCUAGAGUCCGGUAGGGGAGUGUGGAAUUCCCGGUGUAGCGGUGAAAUGCGCAGAUAUCGGGAGGAACACCGAUGGCGAAGGCAGCACUCUGGGCCGGGUACUGGACGCUGAGGAGCGAAAGCGUGGGGAGCGAACAGG